GAAUUUUGGACAAUGGGCGAAAGCCUGAUCCAGCAAUGCCGCGUGCAGGAUGAAGGCCUUCGGGUUGUAAACUGCUUUUGUACGGAACGAAAAGGUUUGGGUUAAUACCCUGGAGCCAUGACGGUACCGUCAGAAUAAGCACCGGCCAACCACGUGCCAUCAGCCGCGGUGAUACGUAGGGUGCAAGCGUUAAUCGGAAUUACUGGGCGUAAAGCGUGAGGAGGCGGUUUUGUAAGACAGAGGUGAAGUCCCCAGGCUCAACCUGGGAACUGCCUUUGUGAAUGCAAGGCUAGAGUACGGCAGAGGGGGGUGGAAUGCCGCGUAUAGCAGUGAAAUGCGUAGAUAUGCGGAGGAACACCGAUGGCGAAGGCAACCCCCUGGGCCUGUACUGACGCUCAUGCACGAAAGCGUGGGGAGCAAAC
rnacentral:rRNA from 1 species